rnacentral:rRNA from 1 species
CAGCAGCCGCGGUAAUACAGAGGGUGCGAGCGUUAAUCGGAUUUACUGGGCGUAAAGCGUGCGUAGGCGGCUUUUUAAGUCGGAUGUGAAAUCCCUGAGCUUAACUUAGGAAUUGCAUUCGAUACUGGGAAGCUAGAGUAUGGGAGAGGAUGGUAGAAUUCCAGGUGUAGCGGUGAAAUGCGUAGAGAUCUGGAGGAAUACCGAUGGCGAAGGCAGCCAUCUGGCCUAAUACUGACGCUGAGGUACAAAAGCAUGGGGAGCAAACAGGAUUAGAUACCCCCGUAGUCCCUGUCUCUUAUAA